UACGUAGGGUGCGAGCGUUAUUCGGAAUUACUGGGCGUAAAGCGUGCGCAGGCGGUUUUGUAAGCCAGGGGUGAAAUCCCCGGGCUCAACCUGGGAAUGGCAUUUGGGACUGCAAGGCUGGAGUGCGGCAGAGGAGACUGGAAUUCCUGGUGUAGCAGUGAAAUGCGUAGAUAUCAGGAGGAACACCGAUGGCGAAGGCAGGUCUCUGGGCUGACACUGACGCUCAUGCACGAAAGCGUGGGGAGCAAACAGG
rnacentral:rRNA from 1 species